rnacentral:rRNA from 1 species
UUCCAGACUCCUACGGGAGGCAGCAGUGGGGGAUAUUGGACAAUGGGGGAAACCCUGAUCCAGCGACGCCGCGUGAGUGAAGAAGUAUUUCGGUAUGUAAAGCUCUAUCAGCAGGGAAGAAAGAAAUGACGGUACCUGAGUAAGAAGCCCCGGCUAACUCCGUGCCAGCAGCCGCGGUAAUACGGAGGAUGCGAGCGUUAUCCGGAUUUAUUGGGUUUAAAGGGUGCGUAGGCGGUCUGUUAAGUCAGCGGAAAAAUUGGGGGCCUCACCCCCGUCGAGCCGUUGAAACUGGCAGACUUGAGUUGGCGAGAAGUACGCGGAAUGCGCGGUGUAGCGGUGAAAUGCAUAGAUAUCGCGCAGAACUCCGAUUGCGAAGGCAGCGUACCGGCGCCAGACUGACGCUAAGGCACGAAAGCGUGGGGAUCGAACAGGAUUAGAUACCCCGGUA